rnacentral:lncRNA from 1 species
UGCAUGAGAAAAAUAAUGUGGCUCGCUUACUCUUUGAUACAGUAAAGAACUACUUUUUCUCUUAUAAGGAAACAAAAAAACCACACAAGCACAAUCUUAAAUGGCAGCCGAUGCUCAGCGUCUGGGAGAUAAUAAGGAGGGGCUGAAUCCGUGGGGAACCAGGAAGCAGCCGCUGCUCAGGUCCCGUCAAUGUCUGCCAAUAGGUAAUAUGACUACUAGCAAAUGUUUUUCAUUUCUCAAAAGAAUCCGGAAAAACAGACCUUUAUAUGAAAUCUCCAAUAUUUAAAGUUUUGCUCAAGCAUAACAUAUCUGCAUGCCAGACAUAGCCGGCCAGAGAGAACACAUCUCCAUGCCAGAUACGGUCAGUGGCUCACCAAUUGGCGGCUUCCUCACUACUGAUUACUAACGGCAGUGGUUUUCAGAGCACAACCCGUUAUUCGAUCACGUAAUCAGCAUAAGGGAUUGCAUGUAGCAUUUUUAAAUGAAAUAGAAUUGCAUGAAAGAAGAUAGAGUUGAAAUAUAUCACAUUUAAUAAAGAUAUAUCACAUUUAAUCAGGAUAGGCAUUACAGUAGACACGUGCACAUACAUCUGUGUGUGUGUGUAGCGGGUCACUAUUUAAAAAUCUAUUUCUGACUGUAAUCAAAGGUUUGAAAGUCACUACCCAGGUGAUGUUGUUUCAGUCCUUUACCUUCAAUUGCAACUUAAAUGCCAAAGACUGUGAAAUGAUCAUCUGUUUGCUAGAUUGCUCUCUUGAACUUCAGCCGCUUAUUUUCAGUUAUCUGCUGGAUAUUGUCACUUGGAUAAUCCACAGGUGCAAAAUGCAGGGCAACAGAGCGAUUAAAAUAAAGGGCUUUGUGGUCAAACAGAUCCCAGUUUGUCUUACGAUUUCUUAGUCUGCUUUUUCAUCCUUAAAAUCAGGAUAAUUGAACGCUAUAAAUAGGGUUAUUAAAAGAAUUUGUCCUUAGAACAGUGCCUGGCACGUAUAAAAAUAAACAAAUAUUGCUUGAGCACAACCAUAUUCCAGGCAUCGUUCUCGGCAGAGAUUGAUGAGAAAAGUCAGCCCUUCCGUGAGACAGCGCUGCUUUCAGUAGUUCAAGAAAGGAAGUUAAAAUCAACAAACAUCUCCUAAGGUUUUACUGGAUCCAUCCUGCAGUCCUUUCAUAAUGUCACCUCUCAAUACCCUUUCCAAAUAGCCUCCUUGAAGUUUGCUAACUUACGACCACAGGAUGACCUGCUUCUCCCUCGUGUCACGAGCCUCUCCCUGCCCCUGCUGACAACGAGACGGUUCUCAGAGAGGAAUGUCCAAUGAGUAUUUCUGGUUUGGCUGCUCUCCUUCCAGUGGUUCAGAGGACUCAGAGACCCAGGGUUCUCCCACCUUGUGACUUCACCAUCUGUAGCUCGUAACUGCCAAUAUCCUCUGAGAAUCCUCUUCAACCCAUUCAGCUGGGAACGGAAAAGAGCUUGAGUUUCUAUAGGCUGCAUCAGGAAAUGGCAUGGGUCGCUUCUGCUCACAUUCUAAGGACUAGAUAUCAGUCCUGUGACUGUACUUAAGGAGAAAAGAGAUUGGAAAUGUGGGCCAGCCAUGCCCAGGAAGACAAGGAAAUGGAGAAGAAAAUCAUCUAGCAGUUUCUGCCACAGUGAGAACGUUCAACAACAGUGCCCAGGACUCGCACAGCCGAGAGCUGUGCUUGCCACCUAAGUUAAGUCAAUCGGAAAAGAAAUCCUGAAUGACUCUCGGUUAAAAUGUUCAAUUACUGGACCAAAAAACACAAGUCAGAAACAUAAGUGAGUUAGGGAUUUUAGGUCCAGAAUGAGAAGUUUGGGGCUAGCAGGCCAGGGCAGGUAUGCCAGCUCAUCAACAUUAUCAGGAAGCCAGGCCUCUUCUACUUUCCUGCACCACCAUCUUUAGAAUGUGGUUGAGGUUCUCAGGUUGGCUUCUGGUCCUCCAGGCAUCGUUUCCACCUUCCAGACAGAAAGAUGUGCAGAGUUGGAAAAUUCCGCCCAAGGCUUCGGCUGUGUCACUUAGACGCCUAACUGGGAGACUGGGCAGGCGGGCACUUUCAUUUCCUGACUCCCAAUAGUGGAAAAAGAGAAAAGGGAUUGGAAUGUGCUGAGUGAACACUUGUCUGUUUGCACAAUUGGAGUGUUUGGAGCUGAUUCAUCUCUAAUGAACCUUUAACUCUUAAAGGUGUUUGCUUCUGCACUGAAAACACCCAGGAGUCCUGAGCUGCUCUGGUUCUUGUUAUUUCUUCAUCCUGGCUCUUAAAGCUUCCCUUUUACUUCUCUGAGCUAUGUUAUCUUCCCAAUAAAUUUCCUUUGCUAUUUUAGUCAGUAAGAGCUAAUUUAUGUUGCUUGCUACCAACAAACCCUGACACCACCUAACAAAUGAUUCAGGAUGUUUAAAGGUCCAGGAAGUGUCAAGCUUAUGAAUAUUCAUUCCUCUUUCAAGAGUUCAGAAUCUACUGGGCACUUAGCCUUGUCCAUGGAAUGUCUCAGCAACAAUUUGGAAUCAAAAUUUUAAAUGAAUAUUUGGCAAUUGUUAAAGUAUACAAAAGACGUCUAUUGGAAAUGGAAAUAUUCAUCCAAUGGAACAUUUAGGUAAAACAAAUUUUUUCAUCCCUGAAUGCACUCUUAUUGGUGCAGACUGGCUAGUGACUGGAGCUGGUUAAAAAAUGGUGCAAAUGAGUUACUUUGUUAAAUGAAAUUGAUCAUUAUUUAAAAACAAUAAUUUCAUUAAACUCUUAUUAACCUUAAGAUCCUCUUGAUUUCUUCCACACAGCACCACAAGAAAGGCACUAGAAAAAGAAAAAAAAAUCUAC